GACGAACGCUGGCGGCGUGCCUAAUACAUGCAAGUCGAACGAGAGCGACCGGUGCUUGCACUGGUCAAUCUAGUGGCGAACGGGUGAGUAACACGUGGGUAACCUGCCCAUCAGAGGGGGAUAACAUCCGGAAACGGAUGCUAAAACCGCAUAGGUCUUCGAACCGCAUGGUUUGAAGAGGAAAAGAGGCGCAAGCUUCUGCUGAUGGAUGGACCCGCGGUGCACUAGCUAGUUGGUGAGGUAACGACUCACCAAGGCCGUGAUGCAUAGCCGACCUGAGAGGGUGAUCGGCCACAUUGGGACUGAGACACGGCCCAAACUCCUACGGGAGGCAGCAGUAGGGAAUCUUCCGCAAUGGACGCAAGUCUGACGGAGCAACGCCGCGUGAGUGAAGAAGGUUUUCGGAUCGUAAAACUCUGUUGUUAGAGAAGAACAAGUGCUAGAGUAACUGUUAGCGCCUUGACGGUAUCUAACCAGAAAGCCACGGCUAACUACGUG
rnacentral:rRNA from 1 species